rnacentral:other from 1 species
GUUUCCAUCCCCGCAAGGGGUAAGAGUUUAAAAAC